rnacentral:misc_RNA from 1 species
CACCCGAGCCGCGGCUCGUUCAGUAAUGAGACGCAGGAAGAGGUACAGGAGGACGAUGAAGCCACUCUACGGGAGUUGCUCGUAAGGUAAAGUUUUACAGAGUGAGUGAGAUAAGAGGCAGGGGCGGGCGUCGUCGGCCUUUAAACCCCCCGCCACACGUUACCCCUCCACCUUUGGUUGUGGACCUACUUGACAACAAGCUGUGCAAUCGUUCAGAGUCAAUUGAUUGGAUUUGGUGGAUAAUCCAACGUACGUACAUAUGUCGUGAACAAAGCAAAGAACAAAUAGAUCUGUGAGAAUAAGACGAAAUACUGAAUCAAGAGGAGUGAGUGGGGAGGCAUAGAGGCUACUGUAGUUUCGGAACACAGCCAUGGUCUCCCUACCUCCCAGUCUGCAGAAACAGGUCAGCGUUAUGAGUAUGAACUUGAGUGCCAAGCUGGACGAGCUGCAGCGGGGUGACCGCCAGCUGGAGACCACCGUCGCCCUCUGCGAGAUCCGCACCCAGCUGCAGGAACUCACCAAGAGCGUAGAGUCUUGCCAGAGCGAGGUCAGCGAGGUCAAACGGGACAUGGUCGCGAUCAAGCAAGAACUAGAUACAGUACAACAGGUGAAAGAAGAGAUAGAGGAAUUACGAGAAUACGUGGAUCGACUCGAAGAACAUUCACAUCGACGGAAACUUAGACUUUUGGAGCAGGGGCUAACGCUUUUCCUGUCGUAUGCAAUACUGGCAGCAGUUUUAGGGAUGUUGCAGUUUGGAUACAACACUGGAGUCAUUAAUGCGCCGGAAGUGAAUAUUGAAAAUUUUAUGAAAGACGUAUACAAGGACAGGUACGGAGAGGACAUUUCAGACGACUCCGUGAAGAAAUUGUAUUCCGUGGCAGUGAGCAUAUUCGCAAUCGGUGGUAUGCUUGGUGGUUUUAGUGGAGGAAUAAUUGCCAACAGAUUUGGCAGAAAGGGGGGCUUACUGCUAAACAACGUGCUGGGCAUCGUGGGGGCGUGCCUGAUGGGUUGUACAAAAAUUGCUCAGGCAUACGAAAUGUUGUUCUUCGGACGGUUCAUCAUUGGUGUCAAUUGUGGCUUAAACACCUCGCUGGUUCCCAUGUACAUAUCGGAGAUAGCACCAUUGAACCUGAGAGGCGGCCUAGGCACGGUGAACCAGCUCGCUGUUACGGUGGGCCUCCUGGUCUCCCAGGUGCUGGGCAUCGAGCAAAUCCUUGGAACGAACGAUGGUUGGCCGGUUCUCUUAGGGCUAGCUAUCUGCCCUGCCAUUCUACAGUUGUUGCUGCUUCCAGUUUGCCCUGAAUCUCCAAGAUAUUUGCUCAUUACCAAACAGUGGGAGGAAGAAGCGCGUAAAGCUUUGAGAAGGUUGAGAGCCAGUAACCAAGUGGAGGAAGACAUCGAGGAAAUGAGAGCGGAAGAGCGGGCUCAACAAGCCGAGUCUCGAAUAUCGAUGACAGAGCUCAUAUGUAGCCCGACUUUAAGAGCACCCCUUGUUAUCGGUGUGGUUAUGCAACUUUCCCAACAGCUUUCAGGCAUUAAUGCUGUGUUUUACUAUUCGACAAAUUUGUUCACUAGUUCUGGUUUGACAGAGGAGAGUGCCAAGUUUGCAACCAUUGGCAUAGGUGCCAUUAUGGUUUGUAUGACGUUAGUAUCCAUCCCGCUUAUGGAUAGAACCGGAAGGCGUACGCUCCACUUGUACGGUCUUGGUGGCAUGUUUAUCUUUUCAAUAUUCAUCACAAUUUCUUUUCUGAUAAAGGAGUUUUUCGGUUAUGUGCAGGAAAUGAUUGACUGGAUGUCUUAUCUGUCGGUCGUGUCGACGUUAAGUUUCGUGGUGUUCUUUGCUGUCGGACCUGGCUCCAUUCCUUGGAUGAUCACCGCCGAGCUGUUCUCCCAAGGUCCUAGACCUGCUGCCAUGUCUAUCGCGGUUCUUGUCAAUUGGAUGGCUAAUUUUUUGGUUGGCAUUGGUUUUCCAAGUAUGAAGACUAGCCUUGAAAACUACACGUUCCUACCAUUCAGUGCAUUCCUAGCCAUCUUCUGGAUCUUCACGUACAAGAAGGUUCCUGAGACCAAGAAUAAAACGUUCGAGGAAAUUCUAGCUUUAUUCAGGCACGGUAACGACAGCAGGAGCAGCUUGCGGGACAGCAGACUUUAUGGGAGCAUGCUAAACUGUGUGAAUGCAUUAGAGGGACACAUUCCGCCAGCAGAGAGUGCAGCCCUGAUGGUGGCCGAGGAGAAGCCACAUCCUGAUUCAUUUGUGUUUGCAGCUGGAUCAGAGCGAUCUUCCGGCGCACCCGCUCAACCGGAGAGACCACCGCCCCCGCUUCCCCCGCCACGCUUUCCGAACAGCGGUGUCUGACAAUGGGAAACAGCUCCUCUUAAUAUUGGUAAUCUAGUGAUCAUGAACGCGUCAAUCCCACUGCCGUUACUGCUCACCACGAACAGCCUCACAUUGGAGAAUCAAUUGUACGAGAUCAUCACGGAGAGGAGCAAGGCGUGCGCGGCUUUCUUGCGGAACAGUUUGCGCCGAGCGGUUAACGCGACCAUUAUUAGCUGGAGUGUCACGGAGAAUUAUGAGAAUAAUGUGUCGUGCAAUCAUGCUUAGGGACGAGAGAGACGUUCGAUCUGAACGAGAACCUGUUAAUUAGAACGAACUCGAACGCGAGAAUUAUGUUCGAUAACACCUACCUAGGUGAUGGUCACAAGAUCUAAAUGCUCGUCGUUUCGCGGAUCUUACGACCGGAGAUAGUCCGAAAUUUAAAUUCUAGUUUGGAGAUUUUAGGCCACGAGACUCACUCAGAUAUCAUGUUUCAUUUUUCUUUUAUUACUGGUCUGAUGACCACUGAGAGUAAAAGAGUUAGUUAGGUUCUGGAGUAUGAGAUCAAUAACUUAACUGCGACUUUACAUUAGUAUAAUUUAUUGAUAGCGAAAUAUGCUUUAUGUUCACUGCUUUGAAUGAGUAAUUAUACGUUUUGAUUUAGAAACAUUUUGUAGAAGUAUAAAUUUGUAAAACUAAAGACUUGCUCAGAAAUGGAGUACUGGUACUCUGGAGUUCUUACGCCUUUAUUUUGUUUAUAGCCUAAUCAUGCUUCAAAAAUUAUCCUAAACUUCUGCAUAGAUUUUAUGUAACAAUUUUAACAAUUUUACAAAUUAUUUAAAAUUCAUAAUAAGUAUUAAUCUUAACAUCUCUACCACUCCGAAAGAAUUGAAUAAUAAACAAACUAGAACUUAUAUUUCGAAGCGAAGAAUUAUCAAGAGAAAUUAGAUAGAAACGAGGUAACUCCUCGAUAAAAAAAGAAUCUAAAUAAUGUUUCGAAAGUGAUUGUGCCUAGAAGAAAAAUGCGUUAAAAUGCGUUGGACCGUGAUCACUACAAGCAUUUGGACUUCGUGCGACACAUCGAAUAAUAGAACGUAUAAUUGCUAGUUGCGACGAAUCGUUUAACGAAACCCCACAGAAAACGAGAGGAAGGUGUACAUCUAUAUAUACAUAUUAUAUACUUCACUUUUAUAUACGUUCAUUUCAUAAGAUUUAUUGUACGUCUUUUUGUAUCACUGUCGUCUUUAUAUCUCGUUGCACUGUACUAUGACUUACAGCGUUAUGUGUUGAUUGAUCAAUUGAAUUGAGUGUUAAUCUGGUAUCGACCAAAACGAGCCUAGAUGUGUUUAAUAGAAACGACAGACGUUCGAUUAGAAACGUCUUAUUAUACGGUGCCUCGCAGGACAUUUUACGAAAUUCGAUUUUAUCUUAUGAAGGUACAGGGACGCAGUGGUACAAACGAGCGGGUGUCAUUUAUUACGGUAAUGAAUUUCUGUUCGGACAUUUAACACGUUCACUACCAUAGUGUGCCAUACUACAACAUUACCUACAUUAACAUUAUACUAACAUUAUUAACUUUCUAACUUCGAUGAUGCUGUUCGAAAAGGUUCCUUCUUCAAUAUUCAGUUAUUUGAACACUUAAUAAUAUUAUUAUAUAAAAUAAUUUAAAUCACUGUAAAAUUUCAAGAAUUUAAAAAUUAUUGUUCCAAAAUACUGAAAGUGUUUGAAUCUUUUGAACCAGUUAAAUAAAUUAACAACGUGGUAGUCAACGUGUUAAGAUUUUGUUUCCGUAACGAUUAUAUAAACGAAAGCAAAAAAAGGAAAUAGAUCGCGUGAAAUUCCGUUUCGCUGAUUUGACGCCAUGAUAGUUUUCGCACGAGAUUCACCCCUUCGAUUGAACCACAAUAAUCGGUAGUACCUUGUACAAUUCAGAGGCAUGCCUUUUCUUACUACCUUUUGUCGUUAAUGUUUUACACCGAAAUGCACGUAAUUCGAUGUUAGGCAAACUCUUUAGGGGCAGAAUGUCCCUCGUAUGUACAUACAUGUAUAUACUGUAUACUUCUACGGUACUUAACACGACUCGUAAGAGAAAAGAAUGUAUGAUAAUCCUAUACUAUUUGAUAUAGUAUACUCGAUUCCCUAUUAUUACACGAGGAGUAUACCGACAGGAAAAAGAUUGUUUCGGUCGUUUUAAUCGCAGCGAAUCUCGACUGGGAAACACUUUUAAAGCACCUUUACGUUGAAUAACGAGGAACUGGCGUUCGAUAGAUUAAACUCAUGAUUAAUUAACGAAAAAUUCUACUGUUAUUCAACGAUCAUUUUCAAUUUAUUUUUUCCACUUAUUUAUAAAUAAGUCUUUCGUUUGGUAAUAAUCAGCACCGAAAAUACAUAAAACACCAAGGACUAAAAACCACCCUCCGCGCUAGGUUACUCGAUAAACUAAACACAACUUCGAAACGGUUCACUAUACUUGCGGUAUAAUCGCGAUAUAAUAUUGUAGAAUAGAACGAAUAAAUAAAUAAAUAAACUAAAUAAAUAACAUCAUGUGCAGUGAAUCGCGUCUGUUGUAACUUAAACGAAAAAGGCAAAAAAAGAAGAAAAAAAGGUAAACCUCUAAUUAUAAGCUGUCCGAAUCAUACAGAAUCAGUGAGAAAGGCAAUAAGCUAUUGAACUGAAAGAAAAAA